rnacentral:rRNA from 1 species
CGUUCCCGGGCCUUGUACACACCGCCCGUCACACCACGAGAGUUUGUAACACCCGAAGUCGGUGGGGUAACCGCAAGGAGCCAGCCGCCUAAGGUGGGACAGAGGAUUGGGGUG